AGCGAACGCUGGCGGCAGGCUUAACACAUGCAAGUCGAGCGCCCCGCAAGGGGAGCGGCAGACGGGUGAGUAACACGUGGGAACGUACCUUUUGGUCUGGAACAACCCAGGGAAACUUGGGCUAAUACCGGAUACGCCCUAACGGGGAAAGAUUUAUCGCCGAAAGAUCGGCCCGCGUCUGAUUAGCUAGUUGGUGGGGUAAUGGCCCACCAAGGCUACGAUCAGUAGCUGGUCUGAGAGGAUGAUCAGCCACAUUGGGACUGAGACACGGCCCAAACUCCUACGGGAGGCAGCAGUGGGGAAUAUUGGACAAUGGGGGCAACCCUGAUCCAGCCAUGCCGCGUGAGUGAUGAAGGCCUUAGGGUUGUAAAGCUCUUUUAGCAGGGAAGAUAAUGACGGUACCUGCAGAAAAAGCCCCGGCUAACUUCGUGCCAGCCGCCGCAGUAAAAC
rnacentral:rRNA from 1 species